CUUAUAUAAAAAGAUGUCAACACGUGCCCCUCGUGUCUCCCCUCAGGGAGCAAGCUCUGUUGGAGUGGGUUGCAGUGGCUUGCAUCCUUGAUAAUUAGUCGAGUCAUGUCAUUGUCGACGGGGUGAGAUGUGUCUGGCCCCGUUGAUGCUAUUGAGCUGGGUCUCAUGUCUUUGGAAAAUCAUUAGAAAGAGUUCAAUUAGUAUGUUGGGGGUGGAUGCUCCAUACCUAAAAUAUGAGAAUUUAUAUGUCUAGUUCUGUUUAUAUGCUGGACCUCAUGUCUUUGCAAAAUCAUCAGAAAGAGUUCAAUUGGUGUGUUGAGGAUGGAUGCUCCAUACCCAAAAUAUGAGAAUUUAUAUACCCAAGUUUGUUUAUAUUGAGAUAGAUAUAGAUUAUGUAAAUUAUUUUCCAUUCCUGACCCGAAAAAAAGAAAUUUUUUUUUUUGCAAUUUAGAAAAGGGAAAAGGUAAAAGGUGAAACUAAAUUUAGGGCAUAGGUAGUCACUCCCAUCAAUUGGCUAAUGUGAUUAUGCAAGGGUUUAGGUUGUUCUGGUGAAGAACCAUUUACUGUCACGUUGAAAUUCUGAAGUUGUUUAAACGUGUCUGGUGAGUUGUGUUUGGAGAUCGAUUAGGACACCUGUGUUUGUGUUAGGGUGGGGGUUUUUGUGAACGGUGGUGUAGUUGUAGUGGUUCAAUCAGCCCGCCCAACUACGUCGUGGUCGUCGGCGGAGUUGAAUCGAGGUACAGUUUGCGGGUUGGGCACGAGGAUGUCUUUCACAAUUCUAUUAAGUGAUGAUUUUGAAGAGUCCAAUGCUAGUAGCUGUGAAGAAUAGGUCGGAUUUUCAUCAUCUGAUGAGGAUGAGAGUACGGAUUUCAAGUUUGGAUCUCCUGGUGGCGAAGCCAUUACAAGGUCGCAAGAUAAGCCAAUAAAAGGGGAAGGUUUUGCUCAAGUAGGGUUGUUGGCUAAGGACUUUUAACAGAGUUUUUGAAUAAGAAGAAGAGGCAUAUGUUGUGUAUAAGUAGUUUGUGAGGUUAAGGGGAUUCGAUGUUCGAAAGGGAGACGUUGGUUGUGUUAAUGGCGUGUUAGUGAGGCGCGACUUUUUCUGUCACUGGCAAGGUACUAGGAGCUUGAAGCAAUAUGAUCGUCCAGAUAGGAUAAAGGAGGAGAGGCUGGAGCACUGGACGGAUUGCAAGGCGAAGCUGAAAAUAUACCUUGAUGUAAGCCAAUAAGUGUAGAUGGUGCGGAAGAUUAAUGACGACCACAAUCACGAAAUGGCGUCACCUAUCUUCAGUAACCUUGUACUGUCUCACCGAAAGAUGAGUGACUGUGACAAAUCCCAGGUUGAUAGCAUGAAGCAGUUUGGUAUCACAACUUCAAAGGUGAUGGCUUAUAUUGCGGGGAAGUCGGGCAGUUAUGGCAUGCUUAAGUUCACAAAGAGGGAUCCUUACAACUAUGUUCAUAAGCAACGACGAGCCAGGAUCAGUGAUGGUGACGCCAUACAACCAUUAGUUACUUGGAAGGAAAUGCUAAUGCUGACUUGAUGACUGUUGCCAGAUAUACAAUAGCUGAAAGCAAUCGACUUGGAAGCCUAUUUUGGACGGAUGGGAUAAUGAAAUCUAAUUAUUGGAAAGGUCCUUGCUUUUGACUCGACUUAUCGAGAAAACAAGUACAAGAAACCUCUAGUGGUCUUCUCAGGGGUGAAUCAUCACAGAAAAGCAUGCAUCUUUGCUUUCACUUUAGUUGAGGACGAGGAGUUCCGAACAUACAGGUGGCUGCUUCUGAAUUUUUUGGACGUCAUGGGAGUAGAAACCCAACGCUUGUCAACAUGGAUGGGAAUAAGGCAAUGAGGGUUGCAAUAGUGGAGGUGUUUCCUUCAACUAGGCACCAACUAUGUGCUUGGCACCUUAAAAAAUUGUGUGCAGAGGGUCAAGGAUGUGGAAUUUUUGCAAGGUGUUUAAGAAGGCCAUAUAUGCCAACUUUGAGCCACAUGAGCCACAUGAGUUUGAGCUUUACUGGCAGAUGUCAGUGGAGUCACUUGGGUUGGUGGACCAUGAAGGACAUGCCAACAACAACGUGACGAGGAUGGGCAUGAAACAGCAUGCGCUGAUUCAUGGUCUGGCCAGUUUAAAACUCAAUCUGUAAACGUUAGAAUGUCCCAGAUAGGUACAUUGCAAGAAGGGGGGAAAACUGAGUAAGGUCAACACAAUGUUGCCAUUAGUGUGUAUGGGUAUAUAUGUUGUUAUGAAAUCUGGUAUGUUGCUUCAUUAUGUAAGGAUGCUGAUUGAGAACACUAGGCAAGUUGGGCGCCUUCAACUAAAUCCU